rnacentral:piRNA from 1 species
UCGAAAGUCGAUGGUGCACAA